CGACAGCUGUUCCUCUCUGAGCCCCAAGUUAUGGACUCAGGGAUUUUAGGCUGUCGUAGAUAAAUGUUGCCUUUUUCACUCAGUGUGUAAUGGUGGGUUGGCUGCCUCUUUACACUUCUGAAUUUUGCGGGGUAAGACAAUC